UGGGUGGUAUAUUUCAUCUAAAGCUAAAUAUUGGCCAGAGACCGAUAGCGCACAAGUAGAGUGAUCGAAAGAUGAAAAGCACUUUGGAAAGAGAGUUAAACAGUACGUGAAAUUGUUGAAAGGGAAGCGCUUGCAAUCAGACUUGCACUCAAUGUUCAUCAGGGAUUCGUGCCCUGUGUACUUCAUUGAGUUCAGGCCAGCAUCGGUUUGGGUGGUUAGAUAAAGACCUUGAGAAUGUGGCCUUCUUCGGGGGGUGUUAUAGCUCUAGGUGCAAUGUAGCCUACCUGGACCGAGGACCGCGCUUCGGCUAGGAUGCUGG
rnacentral:rRNA from 1 species